UACGGGGGGGGCAAGCGUUGUUCGGAAUUACUGGGCGUAAAGGGCUCGUAGGCGGCCAACUAAGUCGGAUGUGAAAUCCCCAGGCUUAACCUGGGAACUGCAUCCGAUACUGGAUGGCUUGAAUCCGGGAGAGGGAUGCAGAAUUCCAGGUGUAGCGGUGAAAUGCGUAGAUAUCAGGAGGAACACCGGUGGUGUAGACGGCUCUCUGGACCGUAACUGACGCUGAGACACGAAAGCGUGGGUAGCAAACAGG
rnacentral:rRNA from 1 species